GCUAGAGUGGUGUAGUGGUUUGAAUGUCAGACAAGGACUCUGGAGACCAGGGUUUGAAUCCCAGCUCAGCC